rnacentral:rRNA from 1 species
GAUGAACGCUGGCGGCGUGCUUAACACAUGCAAGUCGAACGGAAAGGCUCCUGCUUGCAGGGGUACUCGAGUGACGAACGGGUGAGUAACACGUGGGUGAUCUGCCCUGCACUUCGGGAUAAGCCUGGGAAACUGGGUCUAAUACCGGAUAGGACGAUGGUUUGGAUGCCAUUGUGGAAAGUUUUUCGGUGUGGGAUGAGCUCGCGGCCUAUCAGCUUGUUGGUGGGGUAAUGGCCUACCAAGGCGUCGACGGGUAGCCGGCCUGAGAGGGUGUACGGCCACAUUGGGACUGAGAUACGGCCCAGACUCCUACGGGAGGCAGCAGUGGGGAAUAUUGCACAAUGGGCGCAAGCCUGAUGCAGCGACGCCGCGUGGGGGAUGACGGCCUUCGGGUUGUAAACUCCUUUCGUCAGGGACGAAGCGAAAGUGACGGUACCUGGAUAAGAAGCACCGGCUAACUACGUG